CACGUAGGGUGCGAGCGUUGUCCGGAAUUAUUGGGCGUAAAGAGCUCGUAGGCGGUGUGUCGCGUCAGCCGUGAAAACCUGCAGCUUAACUGUGGGCUUGCGGUCGAUACGGGCAUCACUGGAGUUCGGCAGGGGAGACUGGAAUUCCUGGUGUAGCGGUGAAAUGCGCAGAUAUCAGGAGGAACACCGGUGGCGAAGGCGGGUCUCUGGGCCGAUACUGACGCUGAGGAGCGAAAGCGUGGGGAGCGAACAGG
rnacentral:rRNA from 1 species